rnacentral:lncRNA from 1 species
GUUGACCAACCUUUCCUUCAAUGAUAGAGGCAAGAAGACUUUCCGGCCAGGCCUUACUAGAACCAACCUCACAGAUCCCACUCCAUCUUUUACACCGAUGUAUCGUACUCUCUCGACCAGGUCAUCAUAAGAAAAUACAGCGAAAUCUUUCCGAAGUGAGAGAAGGAGGGAAGGCGCGCGACAACUAACAUAACAGCCAGCUGAAAAACGCUAGCUAGGCUAGCGCGGGCUUUCUCUGACUGAUAGGGGCUCGCUUCUUCUCCGCCCAACCUAUAUAUACAAGGUGCUGCUCGCUUUCUCUCAGCCACCAGUGGCUUAUGUAGUGGUCGGCAUUCCUACGUGCUCCUCUUUGCCCCCUACUUAAGAAUCCAAAGGUCACCUUUGGCUGUUGUCUUGACGCUUUGGUUACGAAAGUAGCCGGGGUCUAGGUUUAUGGAUGGAUUUUGUCAGCGAAAGUCCCUCAAACUCAAACUCAAUCACAA